AUUGAACGCUGGCGGCAUGCCUUACACAUGCAAGUCGAACGGCAUCGCGGGAAAGCUUGCUUUCCUGGCGGCGAGUGGCGAACGGGUGAGUAACACAUCGGAACGUACCGGCUGGUGGGGGAUAACCCGUCGAAAGACGGGCUAAUACCGCAUACGCUCUUCGGAGGAAAGCAGGGGACCUUUGGGCCUUGCGCUAGCCGAGCGGCCGAUGUCCGAUUAGCUAGUUGGUGGGGUAAAGGCCUACCAAGGCGACGAUCGGUAGCGGGUCUGAGAGGACGAUCCGCCACACUGGGACUGAGACACGGCCCAGACUCCUACGGGAGGCAGCAGUGGGGAAUCUUGGACAAUGGGGGCAACCCUGAUCCAGCAAUGCCGCGUGGGUGAAGAAGGCCUUCGGGUUGUAAAGCCCUUUCGGCAGGGAAGAAAUCGGCGGGGCGAAUAACCCUGCUGGAUGACGGUACCUGCAGAAGAAGCACCGGCUAACUACGUG
rnacentral:rRNA from 1 species